UGUUUGAAACUCGAACAGAAAAAAAUUCAGAUGUUUUUCACGCCGAUGAGAAAAUGUCUGAAAAUUAACAUGGAGCGGGAAUGCACAGAAAAUAACAGAAAAUUCCGAUGUUAUGGAGCGGAAUGCACAGAAAAUAACAGAAAAUUCAGAUGUCACGGAGCGGAUCAAAUUGGAGUCACUGAGAGAAUGCCCUAAAAAAACACGUGAAAAAAAAUUCAAAUUUCAUGGAGCGUAACUAAUCGGAGUAAACCAUGGUAUUCAAACCAUGUGAACCACUGUAUUUCUCGUACUGAGUUCAUUUUAAAGGGAGGGAUGGUAUUUAUUCAAAUUUCAAACCAAUUGGAGUAACCAUGGUAUUCCAACCAUGUAAACCACGGUAUGUAAACCAUGUAAUUAUUUGGGCAAAGGCAGCCGCCAUUGUAUGUGUCGCAUUUGCAUGUUUAAGAUCAUAACCCUAACCUCUGUCAGACCAAUUAAUGUUCUUUUAUUUUUUUCUGCCAGUGCUUUGUUCUGUCUUUCUGUUAUUUCUUUCAUUAUUUUUUUUUCCCAGACAAUGUUUUUUUCUGUUGUUUCAUUAUUUCUGGUUUUUCCUUUUUCUAGAGUGUUACAGUGUGCACACUAGUAGUCUGCCUGUCAUGAUCUUUAUCUAUUUUUUUUUUCUUUUCUUUUUUUUCAUAUUUUGUGUGGUAGAAGAUGAAGAGGAAAAGCAGAGGAGUUAGGGAUCAAGAAAUGGCAGCUGAUUGAGGGAAAAACUCUUCUUCCAGCCGGUCAUGGCACUGACAAUGGAUUCACGGGUGGGACCAUUUCUCAGAGUAGGCCUUGCUAAGCUCUUCACGACUCCUUCUGAACCUGCUCACUGGUUUGUUUGCUGGUUGUCAUAACACAGAGAAGCUGCAAUCAUUGAAGUUGACAUGUUUGGUGAGGUUGACAUAAAUGAUUACAAACAGGACCUGGUGGCAGCAUGUUGCAGCGAAAAACAGUUUGAUAAGAAGGAUCAGGAUCUUAAUAAAAGCAGCAACAGAUGGAAUUAGGCUUCAAUCAUUUAUGUAGUUAAAUUUUGGUCAAGCAUAUUGACUUGAUAGCAUUGUAAUAUGUACAAAGAUAGUGCUUAAUAAAAAAUAUUGGAAGGGGGUUAAAAACCCCUUCUAAAGACUGAAGGGAAUAAUCAUUGGCCAUGGUUAUUCCUUGAGGUCGUGUUUUCUGGCACCUUAAAGAAUGGUCAAUAGGCCAAGAUCAUUCUUUAA